rnacentral:tRNA from 2 species
GGGUGCUUAGCUCAGCUGGGAGAGCGUCGCCCUUACAAGGCGAAGGUCGAAGGUUCGAGCCCUUCAGCACCCACCA